rnacentral:tRNA from 1 species
UCCCAGGUGGCUCAGUGGUAAAGAAUCUGCCUGCCGAGCAGGAGACGCAGGCUCGAUCCCUGGGUUGGGAA